AGCAGCCGCGGUAAUUCCAGCUCCAAUAGCGUAUAUUAAAGUUGUUGCAGUUAAAAAGCUCGUAGUUGAAUUUCGGGACCAAUCUGCCGGUCGUGCCUCCGGUACGCACUGGUUUUAUUGGUUUCUCCCUUCUGACGAACCAUGAUGUCAUUAAUUUGGUGUCAUGGGGAAUCAGGACUGUUACUUUGAAAAAAUUAGAGUGUUUAUAGCAGGCUCACGCUUGAAUACAUUAGCAUGGAAUAAUGAAAUAGGACGUUUGACCCUAUUUUGUUGGUUUCUAGGAUCGACGUAAUGAUUAAUAGGGAUAGUUGGGGGCAUUAGUAUUCAAUUGUCAGAGGUGAAAUUCUUGGAUUUAUUGAAGACUAACUACUGCGAAAGCAUUUGCCAAGGAUGUUUUCAUUAAUCAAGAACGAAAGUUAGAGGAUCGAAGACGAUCAGAUACCGUCGUAGUCUUAACCAUAAACUAUGCCGACUAGGGAUCGGAUGAUGUUAAUUUUUUUAGUGACUCAUUUCGGCGCCU
rnacentral:rRNA from 1 species